CACUACGACAACCCGCUCGACGCCUGUUCAGCCGUGAGGGUACCGGGGCUCCCAGCCUCCUCUAAGCCAUUGGGGGAGUGAAAGGGGUUCCCCGCCAGGGGCCGAAUAGGAGGAGCCAGCGGGCGCCGGGCCCCUCCCUCCGGGGGCUUACCCUCCGCCUCCGCCUACUCGCUGCAGCCGCCCAGCUUCCUUGCGGAGGAGCCCGAAGCACUGCGUCCAGCAGCAGUUCCCCAUUGCAUGCCGCCCAGGUGCCGCCGCUCCUCCUCCUCCUCCAGCUCAAAGCCCAAACCCAGGCCCGUCAGCCGCAUCCGCGCGGCACGAGCCGAAUGGGGGUUCGGGGACCGAGGGCGGGCCGGCCGGAGCGCGGCGGAGUGAGAGGCUAGGGCGACGGGAGGGACAGGCGCUCGGAACAAAGGCAGCGGUUACUCCAGCGGCCGCCGAGUCGCCGCUGUGCGAGGGAGGAGUGCCGGGCAGCGGUCUCUAGACUCCCUCGUUGUCCUCAUGGCCCCUCGCUCGCCUCAGACCCCGAAGCUCAGAUCCAGUGACCGCCUCCAGGCGCCGAAAGAGGCCACUCCCCGCCCUCCGGCGCACCCAGACCGGCGCCUGGCCACAGUCGCCGCCACACCCCCGGGCUUUCCCGGGCCCCAAUAGGCCGUUACCUCGGCUGCCCCGCCUCCUCCGGCGACUGGCCUUACGUCACUUCCGCCAGCUCCGGGUUUCCCGCCUCUGGGUCCCGAGCGUCUCCGGUGUCACACUAUCAAGGCUCAGUUUUCGAACUUUGUACCAAAGCCUUGUGAGCGGCUUACCUAGAGCCCCGGGCCAGGAGUCAUCAGGUGUGAAGGGGGCACUUCUCUGUGAGUGAGGUCAGUGAGGAAUGAAGAAUGAAAGAAAACCCUGAGGAACUGCUUUUCAAAGAGAAAUGAGGCAUUCAUAAAUGAACAGAAAGCCUCAGCAAUUCCCCUCUUGGGAGUAGGCACCUGGUCUAAAUACAGGCAGAUGGAGAAUUAGCUUGUCAAAGAUGGAGAUGAGAAGAAACCAACCAAGAUUUUGACAGUAAUGUGGGCUUGUGGGAAUUUGGAAGAAGACUAUAGUAGAUUGAGUUUUCCAAAAAUGUCCUCAACAGUAUCUUCCAUCCUACAGAAUCUUUCCUACAAUGUGACAAUGACAUUACUUCCACGGAGUCGUAGUGUUCAUGGUCCCUCCCUUGAAUCUGGUCAAGUUUGUGACAAUGAUGAAAAUAAUGAUAUGUGAAUUCUGAGGCUAAGUCAUAAAAGGUGUUAUAGCUUCUAGCUGGACCUCUCGGGAUGCAUGACUUUGCAACCCCAACUGCAAUGUAAGAAGUCUAAAGCUGCUGUGGUGUGAGGAAAGGUCAUGUGGAGGUGUUCUGGAUCAUCCCAAGCUGAGUUUGCAGCCAACAGUCAGGAUCAACCCACAAGCAUGUGAUUGGAGCCACCUCUAGAAGAUUCCUACUCCCUGGAGGCAGCUUACUCCCAGCCUGAUUCACAUGAUCCCUGAACAUAAUAAAAUGAUCUUAUUUCAAA